rnacentral:lncRNA from 1 species
CCAGCUCGCAGCCCUUGCUCCGCGUGUACUCACGGGAGGACUCGCAGACGUUACUGCCCUCUUGCGUGCCCCGGCCACCCCCGGGCGGCUUGUAGCCGGUGCGCGGGGUGGCUGGGGCUACGUGCAGAGCUGUCGCGGAGCCGGAACAGCAGCGGUGAAGCCCCUCGGCUCGGCCGAGACCGCCGUGCCCACUGCUCGCCUCGGUUGCCGCCGCUUUAGCCGCAGCCGCUGCUGCCGCCGCCGGGGGAGAGGCAGCCUAUUGUCUUUCUCCGCGGCGAAGGUGGCAUUUUUCAACUCCGCUGGAGCCAAUGCCCAGGAGGAACAAAGGGUGUGCUGCCAGCCCCUGGCUCACCCAGUGGCCUCGUCCCAGAAAAAGCCAGAGGUAGCGGCCCCAGCCCCAGAGAGUGGGGGUGAGUCUGUGUUUGGGGAGACCCACCGGGCCCUGCAGGGGGCCAUGGAGAAGCUGCAGGAAAGUACAUCAGCCAGGGGGCAGUGUCAGAGACGCAGCACUGGGAGAGGAGGACAUCGUCAGGCUGGCCCAGGACCAGGAGGAGAUGAAGGUGAACCUGCAGGAGCUGCGGGGCAGGUGUUGCAGCUUGUGGGAGACCACAAGGAGGGGCAUGGCAAAUUCUGACCAUUGCCCAGAACCCUGCUGAUGAGCCCACUCUAGGAGCCCCAAUAGCCCAGGAGCUUGGGUGUGCUGACGAGCAGGGUGAUCACCACUGGAUUGCUGACAGAUAGAGGACGUGGGACCGUGACUAUCACCCCUAAUCUGCAGUGGAUUUGGCUCUCGGCACUCCCAGGCUGGGAGCUGGAUACCUGCCCUGGCAGCAUGACUCAGACUGCAUGACAGUCACAGACUCGCCUCUGCUCCUGUGGUCCAGUGGCCGGACACCCCCUGGGAUGGCUCAAAGGAGUCAGGACUUGGAAGUGGGGACAUCAGGGUAGCUGAAGGAAAUCCACACACCCAGAGCAUCUCGGAGUUCAGACUCUCAGACCUGAAGUAGGCGCCCCCGGGACUGGGCUAGGAGUUGGACGGAAUGGAGGAUGGAGGACAGCGAGAAGAAAGGAAGAGAAAUGCAAAGUGUGGGCAGCCGCCAAGAGUGAAAAUAGAGGGAAGUGUCAUGCAAGUGCUGGACAGAAGGCGGCAGGUGGGACGAGCCCCACAGCCCCCUCCUCAAAAACGACCACCUCCAGGACUCAGUGAUCCCUGGGGGGCAGGCUCUGCCAGCCCUCGGCCACACGUGGCUCCGGCACCCAUGGUCCCAGUGCCUUGGAUGGAGACGGCCAGUUCUGGCGGCCAGAUGUGGUGCUCUGGAAUCCAGUCCCAUUUCCUUCCUGGCCACGCCUGUCCAGCGGCCUCUUCAGCCGCAUUCAGCCCCUACUUACCUGGGGACCCCGGCUGGGGCACGAGAGCACCAGGGGGGUAGGGCCCAAAGGGAUCAGGGGAAGCCUCUGGCCUGGAGGGUAUGGGGCACGCUUCCCCAAGGGCGGACCCGGCAGGAGGAAGCCCAGGAGCUGGGUCCUGCCGCCCAGGAGCUGGGCCCUGCCACCCAGGCCGGGCUAGGGACAUGGCAGGGCCUGGGCAUCCUGACGCUGGACUUGGGCGACCUGGGAGGCACAGGGAGGGGAGAGAUGGGCGACCCCGCCCCAGCGCAGUGCCGGCCACACCCCAAGGCAGUUGCCAGAGCUUAAGCCCCGCCCCCAGCAGCGAGAACAUCCCAGCUCCACACCCCCCCCCCCCCCGCAGCCAGUGCUCCUUGUCAAGCUCCCCCCGUCACUCCAGGUGGGAGCCACCCCGGUGAGGGGGUGUGCCACUUGCCCCCAGGGCACUCCUCUGGGCAUCCCGGGUGGGGGAUUUUGGGGCCGUGGGGGGCAGUCUUUGGUACCUGUGUUCGUCAGGGAUGCUCUGACAACCAGGUGUCGUCCACGGGCGGGGGCAUGGGCAUGGUGACAGUGGUCCUGUUGAUGUCACCGAUGAUGCUGAGCGCCUCCUUCAGCGCGUGGUGCAUGUGCAGCAUCUCGUCGUGCUGCUGUGCCUGCUCUGCCAACUCCUCCAUCAGUGUGUUCUGGUUCCCACAUGAGUACAUAUUGGCCAGCAGCUCCGAGAUGAUGAACUCCGGGGUCUGAGAGUGGGCAAACAGGGAAGAAGGUUGGGACCUGGUGCCUGUGCCGCCCUGGCUGCCUUGCUGGGCCCUUCUGGGACUGUGCGCUGGACUUGGAGCCCCUUGGAGUAUGGCUUUUCACACGGGCUUCUAUACCGCUUCGACUGGAAGAUCCACCUCCCCACUGCCUUUUCUCACUCAGAUGGGGACACCGAGGUCCAGAGGAAAAGACACCUGUCAAAUGUCACAGAUCUGGGAGGGGACUUAAGACUUAUCAUGCCAAGAGGACACCUGUCUACUCAGUUUUUUUUUGGUGGGGCGGGGGGCGGUGAUAGGGUCUCGCUCUGUCACCAGGCUGGAGUACAGUGAUGACUGCUCACUGCAGCCUCCACCUCCUGGGCUCAAAGUGAUCCUCCAACGUCAGCCUCUCGAGGAGCUAGGACUACAGGCACAUGCCACCACCAAGCCCAGCUAUUUUUAAAAUUUUUGUGUGGAGACAAGGUCUCACUAUGUGGCCCAGGCUGGUCUCGAACUCCUGGGCUCAAGUGAUCCUCCUGCCUCGGCCUCCAGGAGUGGGAGUUGGAGUUGAUGCCUGGAUACAGGAGCUCUGUGGGUGGGAGUGAGACAAAACACAGGGUCCUGAGCUCUGGGGACCAAGCAAUGUCCUCUGGUGAAAAAAAUCCUGGACUUGCUGGCAGAAGAUUUGCCUCUUACUCGCCAUGUGCUCUGAAUACAUUUACCUGCCCUC